rnacentral:rRNA from 1 species
AGUUGCAGGGUAUAGACCCGAAACCCGGUGAUCUAUCCAUGGGCAGGUUGAAGGUUGGGUAACACUAACUGGAGGACCGAACCGACUAAUGUUGAAAAAUUAGCGGAUGACUUGUGGAUGGGGGUGAAAGGCCAAUCAAACCGGGAGAUAGCUGGUUCUCCCCGAAAGCUAUUUAGGUAGCGCCUCGUGAACUCAUCUUCGGGGGUAGAGCACUGUUUCGACUAGGGGGUCAUCCCGACUUACCAACUCGAUGCAAACUGCGAAUACCGAAGAAUGUUAUCACGGGAGACACACGGCGGGUGCUAACGUCCGUCGUGAAGAGGGAAACAACCCAGACCGCCAGCUAAGGUCCCAAAGUCAUGGUUAAGUGGGAAACGAAGUGGGAAGGCUCAGACAGCCAGGAUGUUGGCUUAGAAGCAGCCAUCAUUUAAAGAAAGCGUAAUAGCUCACUGGUCGAGUCGGCCCGCGCGGAAGAUGUAACGGGGCUAAACCAUGCACCGAAGCUGCGGCAGCGACACAAAGUGUUGUUGGGUAGGGGAGCGUUCUGUAAGCCUGCGAAGGUGUACUGUGAGGUAUGCUGGAGGUAUCAGAAGUGCGAAUGCUGACAUAAGUAACGAUAAUGCGGGUGAAAAACCCGCACGCCGGAAGACCAAGGGUUCCUGUCCAACGUUAAUCGGGGCAGGGUGAGUCGACCCCUAAGGCGAGGCUGAAAAGCGUAGUCGAUGGGAAACGGGUUAAUAUUCCCGUACUGGUGGUAACUGCGAUGGGGGAACGGAGAAGGCUAGGUUGUCCGGGCGACGGUCGUCCCGGUUCAAGCAGGUAGGCAGAGUGAUUAGGCAAAUCCGGUCACUUAAUGCUGAGAUGUGAUGACGAACCACUAAGGUGGUGAAGCAAUUGAUGCCCCGCUUCCAGGAAAAGCCUCUAAGCUUCAGGUUACCAACAAUCGUACCCCAAACCGACACAGGUGGUCAGGUAGAGAAUACUCAGGCGCUUGAGAGAACUCGGGUGAAGGAACUAGGCAAAAUGGUGCCGUAACUUCGGGAGAAGGCACGCUGGCGGUAGGUAAAGUCCCUCGCGGACAGAGCUGAAGCCAGUCGAAGAUACCAGCUGGCUGCAACUGUUUAUUAAAAACACAGCACUGUGCAAACACGAAAGUGGACGUAUACGGUGUGACGCCUGCCCGGUGCUGGAAGGUUAAUUGAUGGGGUUAGCGCAAGCGAAGCUCCUGAUCGAAGCCCCAGUAAACGGCGGCCGUAACUAUAACGGUCCUAAGGUAGCGAAAUUCCUUGUCGGGUAAGUUCCGACCUGCACGAAUGGCGUAAUGAUGGCCAGGCUGUCUCCACCCGAGACUCAGUGAAAUUGAACUCGCUGUGAAGAUGCAGUGUACCCGCGGCAAGACGGAAAGACCCCGUGAACCUUUACUAUAGCUUGACACUGAACAUUGAGCCUUGAUGUGUAGGAUAGGUGGGAGGCUUUGAAGUGUGGACGCCAGUCUGCAUGGAGCCAACCUUGAAAUACCACCCUUUAACGUUUGAUGUUCUAACCUAGGCCCAUAAACUGGGUCGGGGACCGUGUCUGGUGGGUAGUUUGACUGGGGCGGUCUCCUCCUAAAGAGUAACGGAGGAGCACGAAGGUUGGCUAAGCAUGGUCGGACAUCAUGCGGUUAGUGCAAAGGCAUAAGCCAGCUUGACUGCGAGAGUGACGGCUCGAGCAGGUACGAAAGUAGGUCUUAGUGAUCCGGUGGUUCUGAAUGGAAGGGCCAUCGCUCAACGGAUAAAAGGUACUCCGGGGAUAACAGGCUGAUACCGCCCAAGAGUUCAUAUCGACGGCGGUGUUUGGCACCUCGAUGUCGGCUCAUCACAUCCUGGGGCUGAAGUAGGUCCCAAGGGUAUGGCUGUUCGCCAUUUAAAGUGGUACGCGAGCUGGGUUUAGAACGUCGUGAGACAGUUCGGUCCCUAUCUGCCGUGGGCGUUGGAAGAUUGAGAGGGGUUGCUCCUAGUACGAGAGGACCGGAGUGAACGCACCACUGGUGUUCGGGUUGUCAUGCCAAUGGCAUUGCCCGGUAGCUAAGUGCGGAAGAGAUAACCGCUGAAAGCAUCUAAGCGGGAAACUUGCCUCGAGAUGAGUCUUCCCUGUCGCUUUAAGCGACCUAAAGGAACGUUUAAGACUAAGACGUUGAUAGGCUGGGUGUGUAAGCGUAGCGAUACGUUGAGCUAACCAGUACUAAUGAACCGUGAGGCUUA